rnacentral:rRNA from 1 species
CAUUAGUGAAUCUUCAAAGUCGGCUUCUCAGAUUGUGCUGGUGGAGACACAUGUGCACAUCUGUGAGUCGCAAAUCCACACACCGGUGCAUCUAUGACUCUGAGUGCCGCUUUGAUUGCCUUGACUGGCCUGGCACUCUCGAGUACUUUCACACAGUCUUGAAUGUAAUGGAAUGUCUUGUUGUGCAUAAUGUACAAAUGAAACAACUUUCAACAACGGAUCUCUUGGCUCUCGCAUCGAUGAAGAACGCAGCGAAAUGCGAUAAGUAAUGCGAAUUGCAGAAUUCAGUGAAUCAUCGAGUCUUUGAACGCACCUUGCACCCUUUGGUAUUCUGAAGGGUACGCCCGUUUGAGUGUCAUUGUAAUCUCACUACGAUUGACUUUAUUGUCUUUUGGUAUGUGGACUUGGAUGCUGCUGUGAAUAUCAAUGGCUCGUCUGGAAUGCCUCAGUGUACCCUGCUUUGCGGCGUAUUCGGUGUGAUAAAUCUUCACCGGAGUUGAUCCUUAUGGUCGCGUCUGUAAUGUGUGGCUCUAUGCUUCCAACCGUCUUUCAUGGACAAUCUCUGACAAUUUG